AACGCACAUUGCGCCCCUUGGUAUUCCAUGGGGCAUGCCUGUUCGAGCGUCAUUUGUACCCUCAAGCUCUGCUUGGUGUUGGGUGUUUGUCCCGCUUUUCGCGUGGACUCGCCUUAAAACAAUUGGCAGCCAGCAUAUUGGCCUGGAGCGCAGCACAUUUUGCGCCUCUUGUCAUGAUUGUUGGCAUCCAUCAAGACUAUUUUUUACUCUUGACCUCGGAUCAGGUAGGGAUACCCGCUGAACUUAA
rnacentral:misc_RNA from 1 species